rnacentral:rRNA from 1 species
UACGAAGGGGGCUAGCGUUGCUCGGAAUCACUGGGCGUAAAGCGCACGUAGGCGGAUUGUUAAGUCAGGGGUGAAAUCCUGGAGCUCAACUCCAGAACUGCCUUUGAUACUGGCGAUCUCGAGUCCGGGAGAGGUGAGUGGAACUGCGAGUGUAGAGGUGAAAUUCGUAGAUAUUCGCAAGAACACCAGUGGCGAAGACGGCUCACUGGCCCGGUACUGACGCUGAGGUGCGAAAGCGUGGGGAGCAAACAGG